rnacentral:rRNA from 1 species
AGAGUUUGAUCCUGGCUCAGGAUGAACGCUGGCGGUAUGCCUAACACAUGCAAGUCGAACGAUGUCUUCGGACAUAGUGGCGGACGGGUGAGUAACGCGUGAGAAUCUGCCUCUAGGAUGGGGAUAACGGUUGGAAACGACCGCUAAUACCCAAUAUGCCGUAAGGUGAAAAAUUUAUUGCCUGGAGAGGAGCUCGCGUCUGAUUAGCUAGUUGGUGGGGUAAGAGCUCACCAAGGCUUCGAUCAGUAGCUGGUCUGAGAGGAUGAGCAGCCACACUGGGACUGAGACACGGCCCAGACUCCUACGGGAGGCAGCAGUGGGGAAUUUUCCGCAAUGGGCGAAAGCCUGACGGAGCAAUACCGCGUGAGGGAGGAAUGCCUUUGGGUUGUAAACCUCUUUUCUCAGGGAAGAAGAUCUGACGGUACCUGAGGAAUAAGUAUCGGCUAACUCCGUGCCAGCAGCCGCGGUAAUACGGAGGAUGCAAGCGUUAUCCGGAAUCAUUGGGCGUAAAGCGUCCGCAGGUGGUUUCCAAAGUCUGCUGUUAAAGACUGGAGCUCAACUCCGGAACGGCGGUGGAAACUUGGAAACUAGAGUUCGGUAGGGGUAGCAGGAAUUCCCAGUGUAGCGGUGAAAUGCGUAGAUAUUGGGAAGAACAUCGGUGGCGAANGCGUGCUACUGGACCGUAACUGACACUCAGGGACGAAAGCUAGGGGAGCGAAAGGGAUUAGAUACCCCUGUAGUCCUAGCUGUAAACGAUGGAAACUAGGUGUGGCUUG